rnacentral:lncRNA from 1 species
AACCACCUUUCCGGUAGCUCUGGAGGUUUCAAGAUAGGCAAAUGCUUCAACGGUCUUCGAAAAUGGAUACGGGCCGGUGGGAUCAAGCACCGGCCUCACCUUCCCACUCUCCAAGUAAGGCUUCAGUUUCUCUAAUACAGUUCCGGUUGAAGUCAGCAUAAAAAGGAAUGCCGGUGGCGCAGGUGGAACAAUUGUCAAUACCUUCCCGCCUUCCUUCACCGCCUUCAAUGCCCUGUCAGUCUCCCCUAUUUUUGUUAAUUUCAGAAACACAAAACAACAUCAGUCCUUGUGUUUGCUUUGUAUAAGAAAAAAACAACGAUGAAGAUUCAAGAACUAUACCAACUGCAUCAUAAACCACAUCGAAUUUCUCGGGCAGGUCUUCGAAGUUCUCCUUGGUGUAAUCAAUAGCCAAAUCAGCACCAAAGCUUCUCAAAAGAUCAAGUUUUUUCGUGCUCGCUGUAGCUGCUACUUUUGAAGCACCAAACACAUGCUUUGCUAGCUGCCUCACAUAAACACAUUGAGUGUCAUGAAUAAUUCAUCGAUCAGCUUUACUUAAUUACAGCCUAACUUAAUGGAAAAUGUUUGCACUUGAUUAACAUUGUACCUGAAUAACAUGUGUUCCGACUCCCCCAGCGCCUCCCAAAACAAGGAUGGAUUUACCGGCAGAGAAUUCAACUCGUUCGAGCCCUUCAUAGGCAGUCUCAAUGGCCAGGGGAAGGCUAGCAGCUUCAACAAAACUCAGAUUUUUGGGCUUAAGAGCUAACACUCUUUCUUCUGCAGCAGUGUACUCGGCCAAAGAUCCGAUCUUUUUCGGCUUAUCGAUAGCCUUCUCGUUGAGAUCCCCAUAUACUUCAUCCCCCACAUUAAACUUUGUCACCCGGCUUCCUACUUUCACCACCACACCAGCAACAUCAUACCCUGGAACCGUCUGCAAACAAGUUAAUUUAAUAAAAUUAAUAUUUUAGCAAACAAGCAAAUUGGGUUUACACUAGAAUUUGAAGAUCAACUUUGAUUCUUCAAAGCAAGUUUCUUGUUAUUUCUUAACCUUUCAAUUUUUAUUUUACUUUACAAGAUGAUAAUUUAAACUAAUCUACAUGUGGGGAUUCAAACUUGGGUGUCAUCAUCUAAAGAAGAACGAGCACAUUGUUCUGGCCAACUUACGUAAUACGCGUUUGUCUAAAGAAAAACAAGGACAAUGCUCUAACCAACUGACAUAAUACGCGUUUACAAAAAGAAAAUUUAUUCUAACAAAAAGAUCAACUAGAUCAGCUUUGAUUCUUCAAAUAUAUUUAACUAAAUUAUAAGUUGGUAAAGACUAAAACUUUUAAAUCCCCCAACUCACAAACUAAUCCUGCAUUUGACUUCAGUGAAAAAAAUGAAGAGAGAGAGAGAGAGAGGCUACAGGGGGUGAAGAGUCAGAGUCCUUGAAGUAGCCAAGCAUCCUUUUGAAAUCAACUGGGUUGAGAGAUGCAGCAACCACCUUGAUCAGCACCUGGUCUUCCUUUAUUUCAGGAACAGGAACAUUCGGAUCGAACUUCAAAACAUCUGCAGACUUUCCGUACUCUGAGUACACCCACGCCUUGUUUACUGAUGGUAUGGAAACUGAAUCACUUGAAGCUACAACAGCCGCCAUUGAUGCACUGCAAAAACCACAAGAAAAAGGGAAAGGGUUUGUUGUUGUUGUUGUGAGCAAAUGAGUUAGAUCAGAUCAGAGUGUGAUAUCUCGACAGCGUGUCGUUUUAAAGGGAAGGAGAAGGAUGUGGAACCUUGGUGUUUGCCUACGUGGCCGUAUAAGAAAAAACUCCAAAUGAUGCAUCAAGAUGUACUGUUAGUUAGGUUCAGUGGGACAACAUGCCAAAUUAUGCAUGUAGACGCAUCGUUACUUGAGGUUCGUUGUGUGCGGCAACAACAACAACAACAACAACAACAAAGCCUUUUCCCACUAAGUGGGGUCGGCUAUAUGAAUCCUAGAACGCCAUUGCGCUCGGUUUUGUGUCAUGCCCUCCGUUAGAUCCAAGUACUCUAAGUAUUUUCUUAGAGUCUCUUCCAAAGUUUUCCUAGGUCUUCCUCUACCCCUUCGGCCCUGAACCUCUGUCCCGUAGUCACAUCUUCGAACCGGAGCGUCAGUCGGCCUUCUUUGCACAUGUCCAAAUCACCAGAGCCGAUUUUCUCUCAUCUUUCCUACAAUUUCGGCUACUCCUACUUUACCUCGGAUAUCCUCAUUCCCAAUCUUAUCCUUUCUCGUGUGCCCACACAUCCCACGAAGCAUCCUCAUCUCCGCUACACCCAUUUUGUGUACGUGUUGAUGCUUCACCACCCAACAUUCUCUGCCAUACAACAUCGCUGGCCUUAUUGCCGUCCUAUAAAAUUUUCCCUUGAGCUUCAGUGGCCUACGACGGUCACACAACACACGCCGGAUGCACUCUUUCCAUCCAGCUCGUAUUCUAUGGUUGAGAUCUCCAUCUAAUUCUCCGUUCUCUUGCAAGAUAGAUCCUAGGUAACGAAAACGGUCGCUUUUUGUGAUCUUCGCUAGAUUGCUCCGGUCAUUAGUGUGGAUAAGUAUAUAAAUGGAUAGAGAUAGGAAAGCAAACACAAGAUGUACGUGGUUCACCCAGAUUGGCUACGUCCACGGAAUAUAAGAGUUCUCAUUAAUUGUGAAGGGUUUACACAAGUACAUAGGUUCAAGCUCUCCUUUAGUGAGUACGAGUGAAUGAUUUAGUACAAAUGACAUUAGGAAAUAUUGUGGGAGAAUGAUCUCGUAAUCACGAAACUUCUAAGUAUCGGAGUGUGGUGUCGUCUUGACUUGCCUUAUCUGUCUCAUAGGUAGAUGUGGCAUCUUCUCUGGAAGUACUCUUCCUCCAUCCAGGGGUGGUAUCUUUAACUGGUGGAGAUGCACAAGGUAAUGUAUCAAUUUCACUUGAAGCUUACUUGUAGUUUCAGGCUUGGUCAAGCGCGAUACAAACCAUGUAGUAGGAGUCCCCCAAGUCGCCGAGCUAGGGGGUCUGCUGAAAGAGGUGACAGACAAGGUAAGCAAUCAGAGCUCCGACUGAUUGUUCACCUUCUCCCCAUCUUGCAGCAGCAUGAAGGAUAAAGAGAAGAAAGAUGAGAAGAGAUGAUAUGAGAUACUUUUGCUUUUGAAGAAGUAACUUUCCACAGGCUUAUUCUUGAACUGAGCUGGAGGGUUUUCUGGUUUCCUCCAGAGUAUAAGGCCGACUGAAGAAUUUGAGGGUCAAAACAAGUCCAUCAAAUCUAGAGUACGUUCCACCCUGCUGAUAUAGGAUACUUUUGCUUUUGACAGAGUAAUGGAUGUAUCGGCACGUGUGCUGUUACGCUUGUCUCCACAUGCUUCCUUGUAUCCUUCGCACUUGCCCUAUCUGUUCCUCAAGCAGAUGCGGAAUCUUCCCUGGAAACAUAAGAUGAUGAAGAUGAGUACUCGAGAGCAAUGCCAGGUAAGUAAUCAGGUAAGGGGUUCCAGGCAGUCAGUUCCUGGCUGGAAGCUUGAUUCCAAGUGCUGACUGAUUGCUCUCUUUCUCCUUGUCUUGCAGGUAAAAACAAGGCCAAAAGAAAAAACAGGGAAAAAGCAUGAUAUGGGAUACUCUUGCUUUUAACCCUGAUGAUAUGAGAUAUUCUUGCUCUAGUAUAGCUUGUUUGCAGAGGUAUUAUCGGGGGGAAAGAAAGCUGAAUAUUUCGAAAGGCUUUGUUGGGAGUGCCCUCUCAGAUAUGAUGAAGGGUUGAGCAUUUUUUGCAGGUCUGCCUGUCCGUUGGGGAUGGAGGUCGACAUAUAUAGGAGUCUCCCUAACAACAAGUAGUAAAUGCUAUUCCUUUACCCUGCUUGGUCAUAGCACGGUAGUGGGAGCUGCCAGUUUCACAUGUUUUAACUCUGUCAGAGCACUUUGAAAAAGUGGUCUGUGGUAUCUGGCUCUCGAGAUUCGGAGAACGAUGCCUCUUCGAUUUUUGAGAAAGCAAUCAUGCUGGGGGUCUGACUCUCGAGAUUCGGAGAGCAGUGUCUCUUCGAUUUUUGAGGAAGUAAUCAUGUUGGGAGUCUGGCUCUCGAGAUUCGGAAGGCGGUGCCUCUUCGAUUUUGGAGCAAGCAAUCUUGUUGGGAGUGUUGUCUCGAAUGUGAGUAAAGGUUGGACAUGUUUGCUAGUCUACCUUGCCACGAAGCACAAAGGUUGACACACAUGGACUUUCCAAUUAUCCAGCAAUGGUACUGUUCCUUUACCCUCUCUUCGAUUUUGAGAAAGUAGUCAUGUUGGGAGUCUGGCUCUCGAGAUUCGGAGGAAGGUGCCUCUUCGAUUUUGGAGCAAGCAAUCUUGUUGGGACUGUUUUCUCGAAUGUGAGUAAAGGUUGGGCAUGUUUGCUAGUCUACCUUGCCACGAAGCACAGAGGUUGACACACAGGGACUUUCCAAUUAUCCAGCAGUGGUACUGUUCCUUUACCCUUGUGGGUAAUAAUAUGGUAGCUAGACCUUCAAAAUUUUAUGUGUCUAAACUUUGUUAGUGCUGUUUCUUUGCUAUUCUUUUACCUUUCUUGGUCAGAGCGAUGUAGUGGGAGCUGCAAGCUUCACGUGCUCAACUUUGGCAGAGAACUUUGGCAAAGUGAUCUGUGGUACCCAUGAGUUAUUGUUGCGUGUGGGAAGUGGGUGAUUGAACAGUAAGAUUCAUGUGCUUUCUACUUCACCAGAAGUCUUCGACAGAAUGCCCAUAAUUUCUGCAAAGCUGAGUGUGCGUGUGACAGGUGCUGACAAGGCUAGAAAAGUAGGUGCCUCUUCGAUUUCUGAGAUCGGCCCUCGUGGUCUCUGAGCAGCCCAGCUUUUGAGAAAGCGAGCGCCUCUUCGAUUGAUUCGGAGAACGGUGCCUCACCGAUUUUUGAGAAAGCAAUCAUGCUGGGGGUCUGGCUCUCGAGAUUCGGGGAGCAGUGUCUCUUCGAUUUUUGAGAAAGUAAUCAUGUUGGGAGAGUGGCUCUCGAGAUUCGGAGGGCGGUGCCUCUUCGAUUUUGGAGCAAGCAAUCUUGUUGGGAGUGUUUUUCUCGAAUGUGAGUAAAGGUUGGGCAUGUUUGCUAGUCUACCUUGCCACGAAGCACAGAGGUUGACACACAGGGACUUUCCAAUUAUCCAGCAAUGGUACUGUUCCUUUACCCUCUCUUCGAUUUUUAAUAAAGUAGUCAUGUUGGGAGUCUGGCUCUUUAGAUUCGGAGGACGGUGCCUCUUCGAUUUUGGAGCAAGCAAUCUUAUUGGGAGUGUUUUCUCGAAUGUGAGUAAAGGUUGGGCAUGUUUGCUAGUCUACCUUACCACGAAGCACAGAGGUUGACAUACAUGGACUUUCCAAUUAUCCAGCAGUGGUACUGUUCCUUUACCCUUGUGGGUAAUAAUAUGGUAGCUAGACCUUCAAAAUUUAUGGGUCUAAACUUUGUUAGUGCUGUUUCUUUGCUAUUCUUUUACCCUUCUUGGUCAGAGCGAUGUAGUGGGAGCUGCAAGCUUCACGUGCUCAACUUUGGCAGAGAACUUUGGCAAAGUUAUCUGUGGUACCCAUGAGCUAUUGUUGCGUGUGGGAAGUGGGUGAUUGAACAGUAAGAUUCAUGUGUUUUCUACUUCCCCAGAAGUCUUUGACAGAAUGCCCAUAAUUUCCGCAAAGCUGAGUGUGCGUGUGACAGGUGCUGACAAGGCUGGAAAAGUAGGUGCCUCUUCGAUUUCUGAGAUCGGCCCUCGUGGUCUCUAGGGAGCCCAGCUUUUGAGAAAGCGAGCGCCUCUUCGAUUUCUGAGAUCGGCCUUCGUGGUCUUUGAGCAGCCCAACUUUUGAGAAAGCAAACGGCUCUUCGAUUUCUGAGAUCAACCCUCGUGAUCUCUAAGCAGCCCAACUUUUGAGAAAGCAAACGCCUCUUCGAUUUCUGAGCAGGCGCCUCUUUGAUUUCUGAAGCUCCGUCGAGUGCAGAUUUUUAUAGAGGCUGGCAUUAAGUUCCAAAGCACACUUGAAUCUCCACCAGUAGAAGCUUCAUUCUUGCACUUCUAAGAUCUUGAUUUGUCCGACCUCUUCUCUUUUCAACACCUUUGAAAAUGUAUGGCCCCUCCGACCGUCGUUUUGACUUGAACCUUGUUGAAGAGGCAGCCCCGCCUUCUCCAGACAACAUAUGGCGCCCAUCCUUCGUCUCCCCAACUGGUCCUCUUACCGUUGGGGAUUCCGUGAUGAAGAAUGAUAUGACCGCUGCGGUGGUGGCCAGGAACCUUCUCACUCCCAAAGAUAACAGACUACUUUCCAAACGGUCUGAUGAGUUAGCUGUUAAGGAUUCGCUGGCUCUCAGUGUUCAGUGUGCAGGUUCUGUGUCUAAUAUGGCCCAACGCCUAUUUGCUCGAACCCGCCAAGUUGAAUCAUUGGAGGCUGAAGUGAUGAGUCUCAAACAGGAGAUUAGAGGGCUCAAGCAUGAGAAUAAACAGUUGCACCGGCUCGCACAUGACUAUGCUACAAACAUGAAGAGGAAGCUUGACCAGAUGAAGGAAACUGAUGGUCAGGUUUUACUUGAUCAUCAGAGAUUUGUGGGUUUGUUCCAAAGGCAUUUAUUGCCUUCGUCUUCUGGGGCUGUACCGCGUAAUGAAGCUCCAAAUGAUCAACCUCUGAUGCCUCCUCCUUCUAGGGUUCUGUCCAGUACUGAGGCUCCAAAUGAUCCCCCUCCGGUGCCUUCUCUUUCUGGGGCUCUACCGACUGCUGAGACUUCUCCUAAGCAACCUUUGUGAAGGCUCCCUCUUGUGUGUUUAUUUUGACUCAUGUAUAUGUACAUAUUUGUAGCUUAUCGGGGAUAUCAAUAAAUAAGCUUUCCUUCAUUUCAACGUAUUGUGUUAAAUACACCAAAGCCUUCUUCGCUAAGUUCUUUGAAUUUUCUUUUGUUGAAGCUUGUAUGUUGAAGCUUUCUGAGUGGAGCAUGUAACGUCGCUGAUAUCUAGCGUCGAAGUUUUCUUCCUUAUAUAUCCUUAUCCUUGAAUUUUCUUCUUUCUUGUUGACACGUCUAACAAGAAAUAUAAGAAGAAAAAACCCAGCAGUUUCCGUGACUUGGCUCUUUUGUAAGUAAGUGCUUACGUAAGAAAUAUUAAUUUAUAACUUUAGGUAGGUUACUAUUAUUAUUUUUUAAUAAAUGAUAUUAUCUUAUACUAAGAUCAUCUUCAUUUGAUGGGGUAAAGCUAAAAAUAUAAGUUUUAAAACCUCCCAAACCAUCUCCAACCAUGGGCUAAAAUAAGCCAUGGAGAGAAAAUACAUCUCUAGGCUAGAUUCCUUCCAGAGUUUAAGUCGGGCUUAAAUUAUUCUGAACCUACAAAACUGUCAUAUUUUGACACGCCCCGAUCCCGAUAUUCCUCGAAUACCAAGAUAGGCACGUGCUGGCCGACACCCAAGGGUGACGAAAGCCAUUAAUUGAAUGCAAAUGCUGAGAAUAAGGAAUAGAUAAGGUUUAUAAAUAUAAAAGAAUAAAGAAUAUGCAUUUAAGGAACGUGUUCAGAGCACACAUCUAAUCGAGAAUAUUAGAAGAAUUAACAUAAACAAAUUGAAUGAACACAGAACUGGGUCCUACACCUAGAGGACUCGAAGAUACCGAUGCGGAAGUGUCUGGAUGCCGGGAUUGUACGCCUCGAUUCUAAGUCCUGAAGGGGGUGCAAAACAAACAUGAGUGGACCAAGUUGAUAUAUAUAUAAUAAAACAGUUAUCAACGUACUAACCCCCAGGUUUAUGAAAACAUAUAUAUAAUGAUAAACAUAGGUUUUCCGAAUUCUAGCAUGAUGUGCAGUAUCUCAAAUCAUAACUCAUAUAUAAUAAUCACUAGUGAAUUGUCCGAUAACCCCCAGGCCCCAUGCCGGCUCCCCGUCUCUGAGCAGACAGUCAGAGGAAAAUACACUUCAGGCCCCAUGCCGGCUCCCCGUCCCUGGUCUUAAAUGCCAGAGGAAACACCCUCCAGGCCCUAUGCCAACACCAAACCGUCGCCCGGGACGGACCGGAAUCUAUCCCUACGUCCCGUAGCAGAAAGGACCACUAGGUAAGUACAAAACCAUUGACAUAUAUAUAUAUUGAAAAACAACUUCAUAGUAUAAAGUCAUCCAUCAUCUAUACUAUAAAGAGGUGUUCGAAACAUGUUCUACAUAUCAUAUCGUCAUCCAUCGGAUAUUCUAUAAGAACAUGGGUUAUAGGAAAAAUAGUAAUAAUUCAAACUAGCCUUAGUAAGCAUGUUAUCUCAAAACGUUUCAUAAAACGUAAUCAUUAAAUCAUGCCUUUCAUGUAUGCAUUUCUACUAUUAAAACAUGCUUUUGAAGGGGUCCACUCACAGUACUUAGCCGCCGAAGAGUCACGCAAACUAACGAACAAGAAAACGUCACCAAUAAUUGCCCCUAAGCACAUAAAGGGUCCAAUUAAUAAAACUCUAGUUUAACAAUUGAAUUGGGAAAAUGGACUUCAAAAACGGGUCCAGGAUGUCGAAAUUAGCCUAGGAGAGGUCCUGGACGAAACCUCGAAAAGUUAACUCAAAAAGUCAACGUUGACCGUUGACCGGUCAAAGUCAAAGUCAACGUCAAAGUCAACUCUGACCGUUGACUAGGUCAACAAUCAGAGUCAACUAGUCAAGGACAAAGCCAAAAUGGGCUUGGGGUUUGGGUUUUAAUUAAGCUAAAGGGACUUGGGAAAAGGGCUGAAAGCCCACUUUACAAUUGGCCCUAAGGCCUUACUUCCUAAAACAGAAAAUAAAUAAAAACCUUAAAAAGGUUUCUUGGGUUUGACUAAUGGGCUACGGGCCCUAAAUUCCUAAUGGCCCGAAGGCCUUUAAGGGUCCUAAAACAAUUACAAUUAAAUAAAAUAAUUAAAAGUAAAAAUAGGCUAGGGUUUUGGGCUUGGCUCCCCAAACCACACGGGCCUAAGGCCCGCUUAGCAUGGAACCGGCCUGGGAGGCCUGUCUCGCCGGAGCACCACCACCGGAGCUUCACAGCUCCGGCCGACUUCCACACACAACCCUAGACUUCGAUCUAGGUACCAAAACGAAGAGCAAGACGAGGGGAGUAUUUCUAUACCUUCCUUUCGUCGUGGAAUGGCCGGAGAUGGCCGGAAAAACCCCCGAGGUCGCCGGAGUUGGGUGUGCUUACACCCGGCUUCAAUUUCGUCCUAUAACCUCCAAAAAUCACGAAUUAACUCCAAUUAAACCUCAAUCUCGCAAGAAUCAAGGACGAAAAGAGAGAAUUAGGGGCUUACCUAACCGGAGAUUGAAAAAUCUCGCCGGAGCUCCUUUUCCGGUUCUCUGGGGUCGCGGGAACGAGAGGGAGAGAGAGAGAGAGAGCAGGACGCGGUGAUGAAGGGUGAUGGGCUUCCUCGCGCAGGGAGAUGGGUGCGUGCAUGUGUGCGCGGUGCAGAGAAGAGGGAGAGAAGUGAGAGAUGAGAGAGAGCCGAGAGGGAGAGACAGGAAGAAAGAAAAGAAAAACAGAAAAGAAGAAGAAAGAAGGGAGUUCACGGGGGGGGGGGGACAGAGAGAGAAGAAGGUGAAAUUGUUUGGGGUGCUGCCACGUGGCAGAUUUAGAAAGAAAGGGAUCCAUUUUCAGAUUGGGUAGAUAAAAUGGGACAAAAUUGAUAUAAUUAAAAUGUUUUGGGGUAAUUACAUACAUAUAUUUUUAUAAUUAGGGGGCGGGUGUUACAUAUUUCAAACAUUUUUUAAUUUUUUACUUAUAAUCUAACGGCUAUGAUCAAAUGAGAUUAAAUCUAAUAGUAAAAGAAAGAUUUGACGGUCCAAAAUUAAAUAAUGUCUAAAAUAAUUUAAGAAAAUGAUUUACAUCAAAUUUAACUUAAAAUUUUAUAAAUACCUAUGUAUUUGUAUGAUUUAUAAUUACUUAUUAUCGAAAGUUAAAUAUUUUAAGACUAAAAUGUUCAUAAAAAUAAAUUAAGAUAAUCUACAUAAUUUUAUUUUUUUUUUAAGAAAAGUUAUCGAAAACAAAAGGUUUGGCUAAAAUCAUUAUUUAAUCAUCACGGGCUAAAAUUUUAAGCCACAAGGGUUGGAUGAAAAAAGCAGUUUUUGGCUUAUGGCUUAAAAUUUUAAGUUUUAUGCCCAAGGGUUGGAGAUGGUCUAAAGGAGUGAGGGAAGUGGGCUAAGCCCCACAAUGAGCUAGCAAUAAUGUGGUUCAAAUUAGUAAAGGUGCAGUUAAAAAAUAUUAUUUAUAGACUUAUUAGAGGUAUAGUUAAAAAAUAUUAUUAGGGAAUUGUUAUUAGCACUCCAAAAAUCUCAUUUGGCACUCCAAACUUUCUAUAAUUAGAAAGAAAAAUACACUUAUAAUGAGUGUAUAAUGAGAUUUUUGGAAUGCUAAUAACAGUUCCCUAUUAUUAAUUGACUUAUUUAUCUUUAAUUAAUGUUGUAUUUUCUAAAUAGGAUUUCUGAAAAGGACAAUAUGAAAAUACAAAAAAAGUUUCAUGCCAAGAAGUUGUAAACAUGCUUAAGAAAUUAGAAACAUUUUGGCUUCAAUAAGAAGGUGUCAUGUUGAUAGAGUAUUAUGUACUUGCAAGUUCAAAGUCGUAGCAACAACUCCAAAAACUAAAGCAUUGCCUCAGACAAUUUUAGAUAAAUAUUUUAGUUCAUCUUAAACUUUUAUUUAUGGUAUUGCAUAUUUUUGUACUCGAACAACUUUAGAGAAAUAUUUUAGUUUCCUUAAGAUGAGACUAAGAAAAAUUAUAACUUAUUAAAAUGUAGAGUUUAUUCCUAUGCAUAACUAGUCUUUUAAGUUGGGACCAUAAUCUUUUGUGACUUGAGGUUAUUCCUUUAUGGAGUAUUACUUUAGAAAGGUUUUACUGUAGUUAAGGCGUUUUUUAUGAAAGCGCUUUCAUUAAAAACAAAUCAAAGUUUUUAUUAUAAACCCAAUUGCACUUUUUUAGUUGAUGAAGGGAGAAUGUUGUGCAGGCAUUGUCACUUGAGGUUCACUGUGUGAGAACAAGUUACGCAACUCAAGUUCUGUUUCUUAUUUUUCACGACUAAGGCAUUCAAUUGAAGUUUACUUUCUUACUUAUCACACCUACAACAAGAAAAACAAGACGAAGAAAAAAACACCUGUACUUUUGUAGUUGACCUAGUUUAAAUGGAAGUGCUAAAUAAGAGCAAAUAUAUCUGCUCUAACCAAUGCCUGUGUUAAAGCAAAAAAACACAACAAUGAGCAAGUAGGAAGAAAACACAGUGAAAACUAGCCAAACUCGAAGCACUAUAUUUGUAUAUAUAUAAUUGCGCCGCCCUUAUUACAAGUCUUUUUAAACAGCAGGCAGCAGGAUACAAGUAUAUAUCACACACAAACAGAUUGCAUGGCUGAACUAGUACUCUCUAUGAUUUCAUGGAAUGGGAUACACAACCACCUUUCCGGUAGCUCUGGAGGUUUCAAGAUAGGCAAAUGCUUCAACAUUCUUCGAAAAUGGAUACGGCCCGGUGGGAUCAAGCACCGGCCUCACCUUCCCACUCUCCAAGUAAGGCUUCAGUUUCUCUAAUACAGUUCCGGUUGAAGUCAGCAUAAAUAGGAAUGCCGGUGGCGCUACUGGACGUACAAUUGUCAGUACCUUCCCGCCUGCCUUCACCAUCUUCACUGCCCUGUCAGUCUCCCCUAUUUUUGUUAAUUUCAGAAACACAAAACAACAUCAGUCCUCGUGUUUGAUUAAUUCCUGAUAAAUAAAUAAAAAAUGUUGUAACCUUGAUGUAUUUUAUUUGGUUGGAUAGCAUCAUGCAUUGAAUUGUUUAAGCUUAAUUUAUGUAAGAAAGAACCAACAAUGAAGAUUCAAGAAUCAUCCCAACUGCGCCAUAAACCACAUCGAAUUCCUCGGGCAGGUCUACGAAGUUUGUUGGGGACAACACAUGUAAACAAAUUACUUAUAUUACACACACAAAAUAUUACAACACACUCUCAAGGACACACUUUAGAAGCUACGACACUUACUCACUCAAGAGACACACUCUAGACCACUCACACUCUUCACAAGACUACUCUUGCUUCUUGGCUACCUUCUAGUUCUUUCUACAAACUAGAACUAGUUUCUAGCUUCUAAUAUAUUCUACAAAUCUCUAACUUAGAUAAUUCUAGACUAGCCACCCUACUUUGCAUGCUAGAAUCUUCUAGAACAAUUCAAUGCAUGUUUGAACUAGAACAAUCUAGUUCCCUUAUACCGACUAAGCUUAAUGGGCUGGUGUUGAUCUUUAACACUCCCCCCUCAACACCAGCUCAUUCUUUUCUUCUCGCUAAGUCGACACUUUAUCUUGAACACCCAUUUACAUGAGAUGGGUUUUACUUCUCUUGGCCUUGACACUUAAUCCCAAGUUUGAUAUUUCUUUAACGCAUCGACCUUUUCUGACACCGGAUAAUGGAGAUCAAAGAGAAACCACAAGUGAACACUCAAAGAUAAACAACUCACCACUCUAAGGAAUCCACCAAAGAGAUAAGAGUUUAAGGAUAGGAAGAAAAACACUCUUCACUAAACCAAGUUUAAAAGGUUAAGGAUAGGAAGAAAAACACUCUUCACUAAACCAAGUUUAAAAGUAAUUCUUAAUUUCUGAAUGAUUUAUUUCCAUACAUGAGUAGGGAUUUUUAAUAGUCUAGGCAUGGAACAACCUUCGACCUUCCAUGAAUAGGUUACUAAGCAUGAACUUAAUGUAAGACUAAUCAUGAACUUAAAUGAGAACAUGAACCAUCUUUGAAUUAAAUACGAUGAAUGCACCAUGUAAUAAUUAGAUGAGUCCAAGUUCGGCGUCAUUUUCUCCUAGCUUUAUGCCAUUCAGAAUUCUGUAAUGCUUCUUUACGCAUUGCUUCAACUGCUUCUUCUACUAUGGUUGUGUUGGCGUAUAUGGGAUUUGGCUUCAGUAUUCUCAUUGACCUCCUUAGUUCUGAUUGUGGAGUUGAUACUUCCACUUCAAUAGGUCUAACUUCUCUUGGUGGUUGAUACACACUAGUUUGCCAAUGACCCUUAGGCACUUCUUGCUCGACAUCGUCUCUAGCAAGCAAAUCUUCAGGCUCAUUUGGACUCAAUUGGACUUGGGUAGCUUGGUCUCCCAUUUUCUCCUGCAACAUAUCUUCAAUCUCUUUCGAGUCGGAAAAUGCUUCAUUUUCUGAGCACCAACAAGAUGAUGCUUCUGUGUCCCAUUCUUCCUUCAUAGCUAGAUACGCUACGGUGUCCCAAUCAUCUUCAUUUUCCUCCUUUGAGCUGGCGACAUUACUUUCUGUGGGCUUUUUGAACCAGGAAUCCUUCGCUAUAUGGCCCUUCUUUCCAUAAUUGUAACAUUUGCCCUCAAACCUUUUAUUAUUUUGGGACUGACCACGGUUGUCGUGAUAUUUCGGAGCUACCCCUGGCCGAGAACACCCUUUUCCUUGAUGACCUUUCGCCUUGUCACCAUUUGUUUUAGAUUCUCCAUCAUCACGCUGCUUAAAGCUACCUUUACUUUUGGUGUAGAGCGUUUCCUCCUCACCUUUUAACAAGACCUCUCCCAUUUGCUUUGCCAAAGCUUCUUGAUUGGCAAGCAAAUUCUCAAACUCAACAAGUGAUGGUUGGGUAGGCCAUCCUUGUACAGCGGCAACGAAGCCUCGAUAUUCGGGUCUCAAUCCAUGGAUAAUUAUUCUUUUUAUCCUGAAUUCUACAAUGGCAGCAUUAGGAUCUAACUCAGAAAUUUCACGGCAAAUAGACUUUACCUUGUGGAAAUAUUCGGCAAUCGUCAUGUCUCGUUGGGCCACCGAUAACAACUCGUUCUCAAGAAUCUGCAGUCUUGUAUCAUUCCUCUUUGAAAAGAGUGUGGUGAAGGUGUCCCACCCUUCUUUCGGUGUCUUGGCCUUUCCGUAUGUGCUCCAACAUGUCCUAUUCAAUUGUCGUUUUUAAGGUGAACAUUGCAUUACCUGGCUUGAUCUUCCAUUUCGACAAAGUGCCGCUAGAGUCUUCUUCCGACUGUGUGAUCUCAUUAUCGCCGGUGACAUCCCAAAGAUCUUGGCCUUGUAGGUAAGACUCUAUACAUGUCACCCAUAUGUUGUAAUUUUUUUUUAUUAAGCUUUUUGAUUCCUCCAACAACUUGAAGAUCUCCCAUCGUGUCGACAAAACUUCGAUAAGCCGAACAAGAUUAACUAAUAAUCUUGUAAAGUACUAAACUUCUCACGAUUCUCUAAAGCUUCAAUAGAGAUGGUCCUUUGAUCGUACCGCUCUGAUACCAAUUGUUGAGGAAAAAUUAGAGUACACAACUCUAACACAAGUGUUGGGUGUCUACAAAAUAGAAAAUAUAUUCGAACAAAAAAAAUCAACUAGAUCAAUUUUGAUUCUUCAAAUAGAUUAAACUAAAUUAUAAGUUGGUAAAGAUUAAAACUUUUCUAAAUCCCCCAAAUCACAAGCUAAUCAUGCAUUAGUGAAAAAGAUAUGAAGAGAGAGAGGCUCAUAAGGGGUGGAGAGUCAGAGUCCUUCAAGUAGCCAAGUAUCAUUUUCAAAUCAACUGAGUUGAGAGAUGCAACAACCACCUUGAUCAGCACCUGGUCUUGUUUGGGUUAAAACUUGAACUUUGGGCUCAAGAAGGAGUUGGCCCAAAAGAAAGAGGUCUAGAAGGAGAAAAGCCCGAAGCCCAGCCAAAGCCCAGAAAGCAGGAGAGGCCAUUUCUGACUAGGUGCAGACCAUUUGAACCACUUGCUCACCUACUUAGAGGUCAAGUGGUAUAGACCAGCCAGCUAAUCAGCCCAAAAACAAUUUACAGUGGCGGUACAAGUAAAAAGCUGAUGAGUCAUUGCCCUUCAAGUUGCAUUCGGGCAAGAUUACUGCUUCAGGAGACCAAGCCGAAGUGUCUAUAAAAGAAGAAAGAGAAAUCAAAGAUAAGGACACUCAAUCAAACAAACAAAUACAAGCACAAACUCUGCUCAAACCAGAUUUGCCUUCAACGAAGCUGUAGUCAGCCCAAGUCUUCAUCCAUUUUGGGAUUAACCCUCAACCAAAGCCUUUGUAAUAGCUCUGCUACCUUGUCUAGAACUUGUUGUAGUAUCGAUUUCCUUUUGUAAACCCAUCUCCUUACCCCUCUUUCUAAGCUCUCAAACCCCUUGAUAAACCACAAAGAUAGGAAGUUGCAAGACGAUCAGCCUUGCCCGACCCUCUAUGUUUUUGUCUUUUCAUUCAUUAGUCUAGCAAUAUGUUGUAUACUUCCAGUUGUAUCCAAGUUAUUUCUGGCAAGUUGAUGAUUAAAAAGGCUCAUCAAUUCUUGAAUCCGAUUUAAAUAUGUCUUCACAGAUUAAAUUAGAUCUAAGUUCUAAGCCCUCGGGCAUGUAAGAUUGAUCAUUUAAAAGUCCUUGGUCUCAAGGCAUAAAAAAGAACCUUAUGUGGACUUAACCCAUCCACGACAGUCUUUGAUAAACAAGAAGUCCGAAGUUACUUAGGGCGCAAGUAAUCGACCUAUCCCUUAGUAUUAUUUCUAUUAUAUUAUGAUUAUCGUAGAACGUUUGAGCAUAGAAUGAAUUCUGAUGGGAAGCCUCAAGGCCUACACCUAAGGCCCUACAAAGGCACCUAUUUGGAUUCUUUCUGCUUUUCGGGGGCAAGUAAUCAGAAGUAUAAUAGUCAUAAUACUUCUGUAAUCAAUGAAACAAACAUUAUAUAUUUGAGUACUAGGUUAGUUCCUGAUUGGAAGCCUCAAGGCCUACCCCUAAGGCCCCACAAAGGCACAUUUCAUAACUAAAACAGCCUAUCGGGUAUAUAUACAACUAAAACUCAACAUCUGUUUUACAUCUGCCAUGCUGAAGAUGGCAGUGACACGCCUGAGCACUUAAAAGUUAAUCUUGAUUGUGUGCCUCAAGGCCUAUACCUAAGGCCCCACAAAGGCACAUUUCAAAGUUAACUUUGUCUUUCUUUUUCAGCCUUGCCCGACAAGCCUGCCAGUGAAGCAGAAGCCCGACAGAAAGUAUCGACCGGCGCUAACCUCUCGGGGAGCUGUGUGCUCGUUGGCUAAGAAACACCCCCAACGAAAAUUCUAGCCACGAACAGGUCUUCAUUUGUUUCGGGAACAAGAACAUCCGGAUCGAAGUUCAAAACAUCUGCAAGCUUCCCGUACUCUGAGUACACCCACGCCUUGUUUACAGAUGGUACGGAAACUGUAUCACUUGAAGCUACAGCCACCAUUGAUGCACUGCAAAACCACAAGAACUUGCAAAGGGAAAGGGAAAUGGUUUGUUGUUGUUGUUGUGAGCAAAUGAGUGAGAUACGAUCAGUCUGAGAUCUUGGCACCGUGUCAUUUUAAUGGUGAAGGAGAAGGAUGUGGGUUUUACUGGCGAAGGAGGAGGAUGUAGCUGUUAACUACAUUGAAAUGUUUGGGAAUUAAAGAGAAAAUCAAGAAAAAUCGAUGAAUAGAAGGAUGAACACAGAGAUCUUAGAGAGAGAGAGAUAAAGUUUAGAAAGAGAAAUAUGAGGCUUGUAUUAACUAAAAAUAAAGAUUACACAACUAUGUUUUUAUAAGAGAAUAGCCUACCAACUCUAACCAAAUACUAACAAACUUACUAGAUUGUUGACUUGUACAAUCUUUUUAACUAACCAUCUAACUAUUGGUGUGAAACCCUUAAUAGUAGCAACCACCUUGAUCAGCACCUCAUCCUCCUUAAUUUCAGGAACAGCCAAAAAUAAAAAAUAAAGAUGGUUAUUGGAAAGCGAGUAGUUGAUGUCACAGCCCGUCCCGAGAUUCUAUAUAUCGAGGUUGUGAAAUGACAAAAUUACCCUUAACGGUUACUAAGGUAUGUGUGUGACAUGUUAUUGAUUAUGCAUAUUUCCUAAGUUUUGGAAAAAUUUAAUUGGAUUAAAGGUUAUAUGUAUUUUUGUGGUUAGGGAGUUAAGAAAAAUGGAUGGUGAUGGUUUUGGGAUGGACCACACACACAUACACACGGGUCAAACCUCUCUCUCUCUCCUUCCCGUGCUCUCUCUCUCUCUUCUCUUCUCAGUUCACUCUCUCCCUCUCAAAACUUACGGAUGAGACCAAAUUCCCUCUAAACAUCGCGGAUCGACGCCGAAAAGGUAAGGUUCUUCAUCCUUUCGACCUCCUGAGUCGUUUGGUACUAGUUUUAGAAUGGGAAACCUUAGAAAUCACGUUGAAAACCCGAGGUCCAAUUUGAGUACUGUUCAUGCAUUCGUGAUGUGUUGAUUUUCAGGGAAUUCUAAGCUUAUAGUGAGCUUAGUGAGGUCCUAAGGAAGCUCGGAGUGCUUAGUUUAAAGGUUUUAGACGUCGGGAUCGUUGAGUUCGAAGUUGGCCGGUUUUCUUGGAAUUUCUCCGGUGAGAUUUCGUAGUUUUUAGAGCCUUAAAGUAGUGUAACGUGAAUCUACAUGCUUAGGGCUUCAUUUUGAUAUAAAAUGCGUGAAAAUGGUUGAGAAAUGACGGAGAACAAGGAGAUUGAAAAAUCUCCAGUUUUUCGACGACCGGCGACUAGAGGUUAGGGGUGAUACGCAUGGGGGCACGUGGACCCGUGCCCAUCCUGGCGCGUGCGGCCUCGGAAAAAUUUUCUGAAAAUAUGUCGACGUCCAUGACGUCGAGUAGGUCACUGUGGUAUAUUCAUAUACCCAAAUUGAGCACCGUAUGAGAAGUUAUUUCGAAUUGUCUGUUAUGUGCUUUAAAUAACGUUAUUUUAGUUGUUUCGCAUAUAGGUGAUACCUAUCCCGAGGACGAGCGCAUCCAGGGAUGUCACAGGGGUUACGACCCUUCGACUUAUCAGUGAGUGGGCAGUUAUUUUCUGUUAUUACCUAUAUACUAUUGAUUUUCCCAGAAAUUGAAUUUAAAUGAAAGUAUGUUUUCAAAUGCCAUGCAUGCAUAUUAUGAAUUAUAUGAAUUAGUAAUUGAUGCAUAUAUAUAUAUAUGAAUUGGUGUUGUGGACGCACAUGUGAGUAUCAGGUGAGUUUUAUGUUAUCUAUGUGAAUCAUUUAUGAUGUGAAUUAUGUUGAGAGCUCAUAACCUGCACCCCUGGUGUUAGUGCUUAUAGUAUUCACCGCACCGCACGCUCACCUUGGAUCCAAGUAGGUGCAUGUCGUACAAACCAUGAGAGAGUUCCGACAUACUAGUCGUACAGAUCACUAGAGGUGGUUCCGACUGGUAGGUGACCUUAGAUUAUGUGCACAGAUGAUUGAUGAGAGAAGCACUAAAGCGUAUUAUUACACCAUUCUUGUUGUACAGACUACUUCAGGUAGUUCCGACUUAUGUGCAGAGUAGUGCCGUACAGGUCACCGUGGUGACUCCGGUUGGUUUGGAUAUUGAGCUAUGGAAUUAACCGUACAGGAUCAAUUGCAGGGUCUCCGGUUAAUUCAUUAUGUCACCUGUUAUAUUGAUGCAUUCACAAUCUGUUAUUGACAUUUAUGGCAUGGCAUAUUUUCUGGAAUUGAUAAAGAUUCGUGAUUUGAGUUAUAUGAAGAGUUAUAUGCAUAUUAUGUUAAUUUCUGGGAAAGUAUACAUGUUUUACAGCGAGAGGUUAGAAUUGCUUUUGAUGAAAUGUUUUCGAAAAAAUUUGGUUUUACUGACCCAUUCAAUUUUGUUUUGCGCCCCUCUAGGUUCUAGUUAGCAGCAUUGGUGGCCCACGAGGAUCCCCACGGCGUACUGACAGACUACAUAAAUGUAGGACUCACCUGCGGGUGUUGUAAUCUAGUUAUGGUCCUACUUGACUGCACCUAGUUCUUAUGCUCUGAAUUUGUGUGUUUCACACUUAAACUUACUCUAGCACGUUACUUGGUUAUUAUUGCUAGUAUUUGGUUUUUGUUUAUUCGUAUUUCUCUUAUCUUUUGCUUCCGCGUCGCACUUUUGGUUACGUCACACUCACGUGGUGGCCAGCACGCCUUGAUUCUAGGAUUGGGGUGUGUCAGUUGAGCCCAAACUGGCAAACCGAAGUGUUGUUAAGAAAUUCCCACUAUGGUCUCUAGAGAACAAUCCUAACCCCUAUUAUGACUAGUUGUUCAAAAGGAUCUCCCGUUCUUCCAUCAAAUAUUUUUGGCCCUUUAAAAAUAUCUUUGUAAGUAUCCUUAAAAGUAACUUUGUAAGUUUCAUAUCGUUAGUUAAAAAAUAACAAAUAAAUAUAAAGAUUUGCAAUAUAUCAUAGGAUUUGGAGGAACUGUAAGAGGGAGUACAUCCGCUCUAACCAAUGCCCGUGUUAAAGCUAAAAAACACAGCAAUGAGCAAGUAGGAAGAAAACACACUGCAAACUAGCCAAACUAGAAGCACUAUAUAAAUACACAUAACAUUGCGCCCUUAUUACAAGACUUUCAAACAAGCGGGCAGCAGGAUACAAGUAUAUCACACACGAACAGACUGCAAGCCUGAACUAGUAUACUCUAUUAUCUCAUGGGAUGGGAUACACAACCACCUUUCCGGUAGCUCUGGAGGUUUCAAGAUAGGCAAAUGCUUCAACAGUCUUCGAAAAUGGAUACGGGCCGGUGGGAUCAAGCACCGGCUUCACCUUCCCACUCUCCAAGUAAGGCUUCAGUUUCUCUAAUACAGCUCCGGUUGAAGUAAGCACAAAUAUGAUUGCCGGUGGCGUUACUGGACCUAUGAUUGUCACAACCUUCCCGCCUUCCUUCACCGCCUUCAAUGCCCUGUCACUCUGCCCUGUUUUUGUUAAUUUCAACAACACAAAACAACAUCAGUCAUUGUGCUUGAUUUGUUUAAGAAAAAAACAACGAUGAAAAUUCAAGAAUUAUACCAACUGCAUCAUAAACCACAUCGAAUUUCUCAGGCAGGUCUUCGAAGUUCUCCUUGGUGUAAUCAAUAGCCAAAUCAGCACCCAAGCUUCUCAAAAGAUCGAGUUUUUUCGUGCUCGCUGUAGCUGCUACUUUUGAAGCACUAAACACGCUUUGCUAGCUGCCUCACAUAAACACAUUGAGUGUCAAGAAUAAUUAAUCAAUCAGCUUUACUUAAUUAGAGCCUAACUUAAUGGAAAAUGUUUGCACUUGAUUAACAUUGUACCUGAAUAACAUGUGUUCCGACUCCCCCAGCGCCUCCCAAAACAAGGAUGGAUUUACCGGCAGAGAAUUCAACUCGUUCGAGCCCUUCAUAGGCAGUCUCAAUGGCCAGGGGAAGGCUAGCAGCUUCAACAAAACUCAGAUUUUUUGGCUUGAGAGCUAACACUCUUUCUUCUGCAGCAGUGUACUCGGCCAAUGAUCCGAUCUUUUUCGGCUUAUCGAGAGACUUCUCGUUGAGAUCCCCAUAUACUUCAUCCCCCACCUUAAACUUUGUCACCCGGCUUCCUACUUUCACCACCGCACCAGCAACAUCAUACCCUGGAACCGUCUGCAAACAAGUUAAUUUAAUAAAAUUAAUAUUUUAGUAAACAAGCUAAUUGGGUUUACACUAGAAUUUGAAGAUCAACUUUGAUUCUUCAAAGCAAGUUUCUUGUUAUUUCUUAACCUUUCAAUUUUUAUUUUAUUUUACAAGAUGAUAAUUUAAACUAAUCUACAUGUGGGGAUUCAAACUUGGGUGUCAUCAUCUAAAGAGGAACGAGCACAUUAUUUUGGCCAACUGUAAUAUUAAUAUUCGUCUGUUUAAAAAGAAACGAGCACACUGUUCUAGCCAAUACACGUUUACAAAAAGAAAAUUUCUUCUAACAAAAAGAUCAACUAGAUCAGCUUUGAUUCUUCAAAUAGAUUUAACUAAAUUAUAAGUUGGUAAAGACUAAAACUUUUCUAAAUCCCCCUACUCACAAACUAAUCUUGCAUUUGACUUCAGUGAAAAAAAUGAAGAGAGAGAGAGAGGCUACAGGGGGUGAAGAGUCAGAGUCCUUGAAGUAGCCAAGCAUCCUUUUGAAAUCAACUGGGUUGAGAGAUGCAGCAACCACCUUGAUCAGCACCUGGUCUUCCUUUAUUUCAGGAACAGGAACAUUCGGAUCGAACUUCAAAACAUCUGCAGACUUUCCGUGCUCUGAGUACACCCACGCCUUGUUUACAGAUGGUAUGGAAACUGAAUCACUUGAAGCUACAGCAGCCGCCAUUGAUGCACUGCAAAAACCACAAGAAUUUGCAAAGGGAAAGGGAAAGGGUUUGUUGUUGUUGUUGUGAGCAAAUGAGUGAGAUCAGAUCAGAUCAGAUCAGUCUGAUAUCUCGACAGCGUGUCGUUUUAAAGGUGAAGGAGAAGGAUGUGGAACCUUGGUGUUUGCCUACGUGGCCAUAUAAGAAAAAACUCCAAAUGAUGCAUCAAGAUGCACUGUUAGUUAGGUUCAGUGGGGCAACAUGCCAAAUUAUGCAUGUAGACACAUCGUUGCUUGAGGUUCAUUGUGUGCGGCAACAUGUUAUAAAAUUGGUGUUCUGUUUCUUUUAGCCAAAUCUGACAUCAAGAAACCCCUGGAUGGUAAUGCUAACGUCGCUGAUAUCGUAAUGCUUGCUAGCGUAGAAGUUUUCUUCCUUUUUUUAUCCUUAUCCUUGAGUUUUCUUCUUUCUUGUUGACACCUCCAACAAGAAAUAUAAGAAGAAAAAACCCAACACUUUCUGUUACUUGGCUCUUUUGUAAGUAAGUGCUUACGUAAGAAAUACUAAUUUAUAACUUUACGUAGGUUACUAUUAUUAUUUUUAUAACUUUAGGUAGGUUACUAUUAUUAUUUUUUAACAAAUGAUAUUAUCUUAUAUUAAGACCAUCUUUAACCUAUGGGGUAAAGCUUAAAAUAUAAGUUUUAAAAACCCCCAAACCAUUUCCAACCAUAGGCUAAAUAAGUCAUGGUGAGAAAAUAUAUAUCUGGGCUAGAUUCCCUGUUACACCACACCCUCAUUUUAGUUAAAAAUGGUUUUUAGUUCUGAAUUGGUGAGCCCAAAGGGCACACCCCCUGUUAUCUGUCCCCGGUUUCCCAUCUCUCUCUCUCUCCUCCAUUUCUCUUCUCUUUUCCCUUCUCUCUCCCCGAAUCUCUCUGCACCCACUCUCGUCUCUCUUUCUCUCCCUCAUUCCCCGAUCUCUCACCCCUCGACCCACACCCGAGAGCUCCACACCACCCUCCCCGACAUCAACGGAGCCACCAUCAUCAUCAUGCCGUCUCUCUCUCUCUCUCUCUCUCUCUCUUGUCGCUGCGAGGUGCGGAGAAGCCACCCUCCUGCGAGAUUCUCCAUUUUUUAGAAAUCAAGGUAAGCCUCGGGACUUCUCUUUCUGGUUUAUGAUGAAUUGGGGUUAAGUUUGGGACUUUUUAUCCAUGCAUGCUUGUGUUCUUCGAAUUUCCAAUUCUCGGCAAACUUCUACGGUGGAACUCUAACGAGUUCUAAAUCAAACCCACCCCAAACUUUGGAAUUUCUCAUCUAAGAAACUGAAUGGUGAACAUCAUGAAUUCCGGCAGUGGAAUCGUCGAAUUUGGGGUCCUGCAAGCUCAUCUGAGUAUCCAGCAAACCUAGGGUAAUGUUAUUAUGCUUUGCAUGUUAGAUUUGAGUUGAGAUUUGAAGGUUUUAACCCUAGGAAACUCUUUGUGCAUUUCCCUAACUCCAGCAAGAAAAUUUGGCGAAGCCUUGUCGAGUCCGAAGAGGAUUUGACUCGUUUUCAUCUAUGUUGAUGCUCUGAUGAAUUACCUCAAUUUUUAGUGAAGUUCUAGUCCAAAGUCAUGUGGAACCACUGGCGGAUUCAUUAAGGGGUAAGGGGGUCAGCUGACCCCCCGAACUUCAAUGAACGUCUAUAGAUACCUUAGGUGCUGACCCUCCGAAUUUCGAUGAAUGUCCAUGGAUACCUUGAGUGUUGCCCUUUUGAAGAUUAGAGUUGGCUUCAUACUUGCCCUCCAACCGACUUUAGACUUACCAAAACCCGAUGAAUGUCCAUGAAUACCUUGGGUGAUGCCCUUGCAUACAUUAACAUAUCUAUAGUAUGCAUUUUCAAAUGACUUCAGGCCUACCAAGACUCGAUAAAAUGACGAUAUGCAUACUAUUUUUGGUAUAAAAAAAAUUGCGCACUACGCGCGUUGUUCUUACUGACCCCCUUUAAUAUUAUUUCCUGGAUCCGCCACUAUAUGGAACCAAGGUGUUUUACCUCUGUUUAUUCUCUGCAAUCAGUUCCAAAAACUAGGGAACCCACACAUAUUGAACUCCAGCGAGUUCUUGGGCUGCUUGUUUAAUGUGUGUGUGUGUCGUGUGUGUGUGUGAGUGUGUGUGUGUGUGUGUGUGUGUGUGUGUGUGUGUGUGUGUGUGUGUGUGUGUGUGUGUGUGUGUGUGUGUGUGUGUGUGUGUAUGUGUGUUAUAUGGGUUUGGGCUCAAGCCCAAACCACCAUUCUUUGCAAUAAGGCCUUCGGGCCGUGUGUGUAUAUGUGUGGGUCUGGGCCCAAGCUCAGACAACCCUAAACCCAUCCAACCCACAACCCUUUUCCCAAAACCAAUUUCCUAAAACUCAUUAACCUUAAAUCUAAAUCUAAACCCUUAGGGCCCAAUCGGCCCAACCCAAAUCCAAGCCCAGUCUGACCUUUGACCGUUGACUUGGUCAACGGUCAGCGUUGACUUUGACCAGUCAACGAUUAACAUUGACUUUUAGAGUUGACUUUUCGGGGUUUCGUCUGGGACCUUUCCUAGGCUAAUUUCGACGUCCUGGACCCGUUUUUGAAGUCCAUUUUCCCAAAUUAAAUUGUUUGAGUAGAGUUUGACUAAUUGUGCUAUUUAUGUGCUUAGGGUCAACUAUUGUGACGUUUUCGUCUUCGCUAGUGGCGCAGUUUUUGGCGGCUAAGUACUGUGAGUAGACCCCUUCUAAAAUUAAAUGAUUUUAUAGUUCAAUUGCAUAAAUGAAUAGCAUGCCUUACGAGUUUAUGAUUUGAUUUUAUGUUAAGCAUUUUUAUUGAAUAUGUUGAUUUUCGUCUUGUGUUUUUUAUGAGGAAUUAAUUGUUAGCCUAUAUUGAGCUAUAUUUUAAUAUAUCGUAUUUUCUAUAAAAACCAUGAACUGGUAGACUAUCUGAUGGAUGACGAUAGGAUGCUAGAACAUGUUUUAGAAACCCCUCUUUAUAGUAUAGACGAUGGAUGACUUUAUACUAUGAAGUGGUUAUUUAUGAAAGGCGUAAUUAUUUGUGCAUAUCUAGUGGACACUAUGCCGCCUGGGGUGAGGAUCUGGUGUUGGCAGAUAGGCCGGGAGAAAUAAUCCCUAGCUACGGGCUGAGGGACACGGAGCAGGCAUUGGGCCGAGAGUUGGUAAUCUCUGGCUACGGGUGCAGAGACCACGGUGCUGGCAUAGGGCCGGGAGUUAUAUUUAUUCAAUGAUCUUACUAGCAGCACACCAUGUUUACGAGACGAUCUACGAGAUGAUACACGCGAUGAUUUAUAUGAUGUUUUUCCGCGUUAUACCUGUUGAGAUGUUUUAUGGCAUGCUAGAGUUUCAGAAAACCUAUCACUUAUUAUGCUAGUAGUUUUCAUUAUAUAUAAACUUGGUCCACUCACCCUUGUUUUGCGCCCCUUUCAGGAUUUAGAAUUCGAGGCAUAGGUUCCCGACGUCAACGCUUUCGCAUUGGCAUAUUCGAGUCCUCUCGGUGUAGGACUCACAUCCUUUUAUUUAUUAAAUUUUAUAUUAAUUCUUUUAGAACUCUAGUUAGUUGUAUGCUCUGAACACGUUUCUAAUUUAUUAAUUCUUUGAAUUUUAAAUUCAUAACCCUUAUUUACUUCUUAUUCUUAGCUUUUGUAUCAAUUAAUGGCUUUCGUCACCCUCGGGUGUCGGCCAGCACGUGCCUAUCCUGUUAUUCCAGGAAUAUUGGGAUCGGGGAGUGUCAUUCCCCUAGAAUUUAAGUAUGUCUUAAAUUAUUUUGGACCCACCAAACUGUCAUAUUUCAUUUUUUGUUUUUGUUUUUUACUUAUAAUCUAACGGCUAUGAUCAAAUGAGACCAAAUCUAAUAGUAAAAUAAACAUUUGACGGUCCAAAAUUAAAUAAUGUCUAAAAUUAUUUAAGAAAAUUAUCUACACCAAAUUUAACUUAAAACUUUAAAUACCUAUGUAUUUGUAUGAUUUUUAAUUACUUAUCAUCGAAAAUUAAAUAUUUAAAGACUAAAAUGUUCAUAAAAAUAAAUUAAGAUAAUCUACAUAAUUUUUUUUUUAAAAGAAAAGUUAUCGAAAACAAAAAGUUAGGCUAAAAUCAUUAUUUAAUCAUCACAGACUAAAAUUUUAAGCCACAAGGGUUGGAGGAAAAAAAAAAAUCAGUUUUUGGCUUAUGGCUUAAAAUUUUAUGGCUUAAAUUUUUAAGUUUUAUGCCCAAGGGUUGGAGAUGGUCUAAAGGGGUGAGGGAAUUCAAAUGGGCUAAACCCCACAAUGAAGCUAGCAAUAAUGUGGUUCAAAUUAGUAGAGGUGCAGUUAAAAAAUAUUAUUUAUAGACUUAUUAGAGGUAUAGUUAAAAAAAAAAUUAUUAGGAAAUUGUUAUUAGCACUCCAAAAAUCUCAUUUGGCACUCCAAACUUUCUAUAAUUAGAAAGAAAAAUACACUUAUGACGAGUGUAUAAUGAGUUUUUUUUAGUGCUAAUAACAGUUCCCUAUUAUUAAUUGACUUAUUUAUCUUUCAUUAAUGUUGUAUUUUCUAAAUAGGAUUUCUGAGAAGGGCAAUAUGGAAAUACAAAAAAGUUUCAUGCCAAGAAGUUGUAAACAUGCUUAAGAAAUUAGAAACAUUUUGGCUUCAAUAAGAAGGUGUCAUGUUGAUAGAGUAUUAUGUACUUGCAAGUUCAAAGACGUAGCACCAACUCCAAAAACUAAAGCAUUGCCUCAUACAAUUUUAGAUAAAUAUUUUAGUUCAUCUUAAACUUUUAUUUAUGGUAUUGCAUAUUUUUGUACUCAAACAACUUUAGAGAAAUAUUUUAAUUUCCUUAAGAUGAGACUAAGAACAAUUAUAACUUAUUAAAAUGUGGAGUUUAUUCCUAUGCAUAACUGGUCUUUUAAGUUGGGACCAAAAUCUUUUGUGACUUGAGGUUAUUCCUUUAUGGAAUAUUACUUUAGAGAGGUUUUACUGUAGUUAAGGCUUUUUUUAAUGAAAGCGCUUUCAUUAAAAACAAAAGGAAAACUAAUUAAAAAUGCUUGAAAACUUUGAGUUUUAACGAUAAGGACAAAAUAAAGGGUUAAGUGAAUAGUACCAUGAUUGACUUUUUAGUGCAAAAAUGUGAUUUUUCGUUAAAAUGAACAGUACCGCGGGCUUUUCGUUAAAACUCCCAAAAACAAAUCAAAGUUUUUAUUAUAAACCCAAUUGCUCUUUUAUAGUUGUGAAGGGAGAAUGUUGUGCAGGCAUUGUCGCUUGAGGUUCACUGUAUGAGAACAAGUCGCAACUCAAGUUUUGUAUCUUAUUUUUCACGACUGAGGCAUGCAAUUGAAGUUUACCUUUGUUUGUAUCAUACUUGACCAAUCCUGAAACUAUUGAGCACCGAUCAACGUUAUACCGUCAAGGACCCAGAAAAGUUUCCCUCCAACCAGGAGGCCAAUCACAGCGCGACACCUGUCGAUAUCAAAAGUCAAUCAUAGCGUGACACGUGUCAACAUCAGAAGCCAAUCACAACACGACACGUGUCAAUGUUUGAAUGAAACUAGAAACUCUCUUCUAUAAAUAGAUAUCAUUCUCUCACAAUAUUUCCUAAUGUCAUUUGUACUAAAUCAUUCACUUGUACUCACUAAAUGAGAGCUUGAACCUAUGUACUUGUGUAAACCCUUCACAAUUAAUGAGAACUCCUCUACUCCGUGGACGUAGCCAAUCUGGGUGAACCACAUACAUCUUGUGUUUGCUUCCCUAUCUCUAUCCAUUUAUAUACUUAUUCAUACUAGUGACCGGAGCAAUCUAGCGAAGGUCACAAACUUAACACUUUCUAUUGUACCAAAAUCCUCACUGAGUUUGUGCAUCAACAACCUUCUUACUUAUCACACCUACAACAAGAAAAACAAGACGAAGAAAAAAAAACACCUGUACUUUUGAAGUUGACCUAGUUCAAAUGGAAGUGCUAUAUAAGAGGGAAUAUAUCCGCUCUAACCAAUGCCGGUGUUAAAGCGAAAAAACACAGCAAUGAGCUAGUAGGAAGAAAACACAGUGAAAACUAGCCAAACUUGAAGCACUAUAUUAGUAGAUAUAAGAUUGCGCCGCCCUUAUUACAAGUCCUUUUAAACAGCAGGCAGCAGGAUACAAGUAUAUAUCACACACAAACAAAUUGCAUGGCUGAACUGGACUCUAUGAUUUCAUGGAAUGGGAUACACAACCACCUUUCCUGUAGUUCUGGAGGUUUCAAGAUAGGCAAAUGCUUCAACAGUCUUCGAAAAUGGAUACAGGCUGGUGGGAUCAAGCACCGGCCUCACCGUCCCACUCUCCAAGUGAGGCUUCAGUUUCUCUAAUACAGUUCCGGUUGAAGUCAGCAUAAACAGGAAUGCUGGUGGCGCUACUGGACGUACAAUUGUCAAUACCUUCCCGCCCGCCUUUACCGCCUUCACUGCCCCGUCAGUCUCCCCUAUAUUUGUUAAUUUCAGAAACACAAUACAACAUCGGUCCUUGUGUUUGAUUAAUUCUGAUAAAUAAAUAAAAAAUGUUGUAACUUUGAUGUAUUUAUUUGGUUGGAUAACAUCAUGCAUCGAAUUGUUUAAGCUUAAUUUAUAUAAGAAAGAACCAACAAUGAAGAUUCAAGAAUCAUCCCAACUGCGUCGUAAACCACAUUGAAUUUCUCGGGCGGGUCUACGAAGUUCUCCUUGGUUUAAUCAAUAACAAAAUCGGCACCCAAGCUUCUCAAAAGAUCGAGUUUUUUGUGCUUACAGUAGCUGCCACUUUUGAAGCAUCAAACAUAUGCUUGCUAGCUGCCUCACAUAAACACAUUAACUGUCAUGCAUAAUUAAUCAAUCAGCUUUGCUUAAUUAGAGUCUAACUUAAUGGUAUAGUGGAAAAUGUUUUGUGGAAAAUGUUUUCACUUGAUUAACUUUGUACCUGAAUAACAUGUGUUCCAACUCCCCCAGCGCCUCCCAAAACAAGGAUGGAUUUACCGGCAGAGAAUUCAGCUCGUUCGAGCCCUUCACAGGCAGUCUCAAUUACCAGAGGAAGGCUAGCGGCUUCAACGAAACCUCAGAUUUUUGGGCUUGAGAGCUAACACUCUUUCGUCUGCAGCAGUGUACUCGGCCAAAGAUCCGAUCUUUUUCGGGUUAUCGAUAGCCUUCUCAUUGAGAUCCCCAUAUAUUUCAUCCCCCACCUUAAACUUUGUCACUUGGCUUCCUACUUUAACCACCACACCAGCAACAUCAUAUCCUGGAACUGUCUGCAAAACAAGUUAAUUUAAUAAAAUUAGAAGUAGCAAAUAAGCUAAUUGGGUUUACGCUAGAAUAUGAAGAUCAGCUUUGAUUCUUCAAAGCAAGUUAAAUUUUUUUUUUCCUUAACCAUUCAUCUUUAUUUUAUUUUACAAGACAAUACUUUGAACUAAUCUACGGGUAGGGAUUCAAACUUGGGUUUCAGCGUUUAAACAGUGACGAACACAAUGCUAUGGCCAACUUACGCGUCUACAAAGUAGAAAAUAUAUUCUAACAAAAAAAUCAACUAGAUCAAUUUUGAUUCUUCAAAUAGAUUAAACUAAACUAUAAGUUGGUAAAGAUUCAAACUUUUCUAAAUCCCCCAAAUCACUAGCUAAUCAUGCAUUAGUGAAAAAAAAUGAAGAGAGAGAGAGAGAGAGAGAGGCUCACAGGGGGUGAAGAGUCAUAGUCCUUGAAGUAGCCAAGCAUCCUUUUCAAAUCAACUGAGUUGAGAGAUGCAGCAACCACCUUGAUCAGCACCUGGUCUUACUUUAUUUCAGGAACAGGAACAUCCGGAUCGAAGUUCAAAACAUCUGCAGACUUUCCGUACUCUGAGUACACCCACGCCUUGUUUACAAAUGGUACGUAAACUGAAUCACUUGAAGCUACAGCCGCCAUUGAUGCACUGCAAAAACCACAAGAACUUGUAAAGGGAAAGGGAAAUGGUUUGUUGUUGUUGUUGUUGUGAGCAAAUGAGUGAGAUACGAUCAGUCUGAGAUCUUGGCACCGUGUCAUUGUAAUGGUGAAGGAGAAGGAUGUGGGUUUUACUGGUGAAGGAGGAGGAUGUGGAACCUUGGUGUUUGCCCACGUUACCGUACAAGAAAAAACUCCAAAUGAUGCAUCUACAUGCAUUGUUAUUUGAGGUUCAUUAUUUGCGGCAACAUACCAAAUCAUGCAUCUAAAUGCAGUGUUAUCUGAGGUUCGUUGUGUGCGUUGUGUGUGGCAACAUACCAAAUGAUACAUCUAGAUGUAGUGUUAUUUGAGGUUCGUUGUGUGCGGCAACAUGUUAUGCAAUUGAUGUUCUCUUUCUUUUAGACAAAUCUGACAUCAACACACCGCGAGAUCGUAAUUGCUAGCGAUUGAAGUUUUCUUCCUUAUUAUCCUUAUCACAAGUUUUCUUCCUUCUUGUUGACACCUUCAAGAAAUAUAAGAAGAAAAAACCCAACACUUUCUAAGUUACUCAGCUCAUUUGUAAGUAUGGGUUUACGUUAGAAACAUUAAUUUUAUAACUUUAGAUAGGUAUUAUUUGAUAGAGAUGUAGUUAAAAAAAAUAUUAUUUAUUGACAUUUAUUUUUGAUGAAUUAUGUAUUUCCUAAACAGGAUUUCGAAGGAGGACAACAUGAAAAUACAAAAUGUAUUAUGCCGUGAAGUUGUGAACAUGCUUGAGAAAUUAGAAACAUUUUGGCUUCGAUAAGAAGGUGUCGUGUUGACAAAGUAUUACGUACUCGCAAGCCUAAAGUGUUGACUGAUAUUGACUCAAGUGAAUGCCACAUAAUCUGCCAUGUCAUCAAUAUUUCUGUUAAAAGUUAGUUAGGAGGGUUAUGUGUAGCUUACACAGUAAGCAAGGUAGUUAGACUACUAGAGGGAUAUAAAAGGCCGAUUGCAGUCUAAUGUUUGUAAGAAAUAACCAUUCUAUCAAUACAAAACUUUUCAUAUUCUUUCUAGUUUUAUUUCCAGGUCUUCUUCUACAUUCUCUAUAUUCCUUCUUUCUUCUUUCUUCUGUGGUUCUGAUCUUCUUUGUUAAGAUGGUAUCGAGCCAAGGUUGAUUUUUUUUUGGGAUUUUCUUCCGCUGAGUAAGUCUUGGAGAUUGAUCGUUGAAGGCGUUGUUGGAGUUCUUGGAGGAUUGGUGCUGGCUUGAUGAAUUUUGGGUCGAGGGUCUUUCAAUCAGGUUGUUGGUUUCUUUCUUUAUUCUUUGCACAUCAAGUGUUUGCGUUUUUGCUUCAGUGAAGAUAUAUGGCGAUUUGGGUUGUUUCUUGUGGUUUUUCAUAUAUGGGUUCUUUGUUGGAUUCGAUUAAGGCUGAUGCCAGACAAUAGCAGAUUUAUACUUGUGGUGUGAUAUGGUUGAAGUUGUUCAUUUGUGACAUUGCUGAAAUUUUAGCUUUUGAAGUAUAUACAUAUAGAAGGCCGAUGCCAAGAAGUAGUGCAAAUAUCUUGAAGUGGUGAUCAUUGUUGUAGUUUGGAGUUAAACAAAUUUGUGAUUGAGAUUGUUUGCUUGUCAGUAAUACGUGAUAAAGAUGUCUGAUAAAUGAGUACGCAUUGAAAGUUUGCUUGGUAUGUUAACUGUGAAGUUGCAAGAUGACAAUUUUGUUAAGUGGAAUUAUCAGUUUCAGUCUGUUUUACGAGGGUAUGAUUUCUUUGAAUUUUUUACUGGUGAGUCUCCUUGUCCACCAAAGUUUGUGAUUAACACUGAGAGUGGAGUGACUACAGAAAUCACAGCAGCUUAUAAAUCUUGGGUUCAGAAAGAUAUGGAACUAUUGAGUCUGUUAAUUGCUACUUUGUCGGAUGAUGCUAUGGAAUAUGUCAUAGGGUGUAAAAUGUCUCAUGAAGCUUGGGUAAACUUACAAGACCGAUAUGCGUCCGUGUCAAGGGCUAGGAUUAAUCAACUCAAAAUUGUGUUUCAUACAAUUCAAAAAGGCAGUGAUUCUAUUGACAAGUAUUUGCUUCGGUUGAAAGCCAUUCGUGAUCAGCUUGUGUCUGCAGGGGAGAGGAUUACUGAUAAUGAUGUUGUUAUUACUGCUUUAUCUGGAUUACCAUCGGAGUUUGAUAUUGUCAAGGCUGUAGUUUUAGCAAGGGAGACUUCUAUUCCACUGAAAGAUUUCAGGGCGCAGUUGAUUGGUGUUGAAUCUGCUAUGGAAGCAAGAGUCACUACUCUGGCCAGUGGCAUGGCUGCAAUGUAUGUUCAAGGAGAUAGAGUUACAGGUGGUCAUCAGAAUUCCGGGUAUUCACAAGGAGAGAGUUCAAAUGCUGGUUCACAAAUUGGUGAUACUCAAGGCUAUCAAGGGAACAACAGGUUUCAAAACAGAAAUAGGUUUAAUAAUUCUCAGGGGUCUAAUACUUCUCAGAACUAUAACAGAAGUGGUUAUGGGUCUUUCAAUAAUUCAAGGCCUUAUUACAAUGGGAAUAGACAGAGAUGGGGAAACAACUAUAAUAAUUCUCCUACUGGGAAUAUGUCUUCUUGGAGUGGUAAUACUACCUUCAAAACAGGUCCGAUAGUUGAAUGUCAGAUUUGUUCUCGCAGAGGUCAUACUGCUGCAACUUGUUCGAAUAAGAGUGAUGGUUAUCAGGUUCUAAUCUGCCAAAUUUGUGGAAAGAAAGGUCAUCAUGCUCUGGAUUGUAGACAUAGGAAUAACUAUUCCUAUCAGGGGGCACCUCCACCUCCUUCUCUUACUGCAUUUUCUGCUUAAGCUCCAUCUCACAUGACUGCUGCAGAAUAUGGUCAGAAUGUUCAACAUUUCUCUGCAGCUGAUACAUGGGUGUUGGACACUGGUGCUUCACACCAUAUGACAUCUAAUCUUAGGAAUCUCAAUCAACCUGUGCAGUAUAAUGGUGAUGAGAAAAUCACUAUUGGUAAUGGGGAAGGUUUGGCUGUUACUCAUAUUGGUUCUACAACCCUUUCAACUCCACAACAUUUACUGUUUCUCAAGAAUGUCUUACAUGUUCCAACCAUUACUGUUAAUCUCUUAUCUGUUAAGAAAAUUAUGUGAAGAUAAUCAUUGCUGGUUUAUAUGUGAUGAGAGUGUCUUUUUUAUACAGGACAAGGCAACAGGAAUGAUGUUGUACCACGGCAAGAGUAGGGGAGAGCUAUAUGAGAUCCCUGUGACUGUGUUUUCAAGAAGAUUGGUUGCUGGUCAAAAUAAAGUUGUUGCAUUACUUGGGAAAGCUGUAAAGACUUCUGUUUGGCAUAAGAGGCUUGGGCAUCCUUCUGCCGAAGUGCUUGAUGUUAUGCUUCGAAAUGUUGGACAGCCUGUUAGUGUAGAUUCAUCACCUUCUGUUUGUUCUUCAUGUCUUUCUGGAAAAAUGUGUAGACAACUCUUUCCUGUCAAAGAAACUAGGGCUAGUUCUAUGUUUGAAAAAGUACAUUCUGAUAUUUGGGGGCCUGCUCCAGUUAAGUCUCUAGAAGGGUUUAGAUACUAUGUAAGUUUUGUGGAAGAGUUCUCAAGAUUUGUAUGGAUCUUCCCUAUUAUCAAUAAAUCUGAGGUUUUCCAAGUCUUUUUAAGUUAAGUUUUUUGCAUUUGUUACAACUCAGUUCAAUUCUAUAAUUAAGUGCUUACAGACAGAUGGUGGUUCUGAAUAUAUGAGUAACAGAUUUCAGUCUUUUUUGGCACUCAAAGGAACUGCACAUUCCAUAUCAUGUCCUUACACACCUCAGCAGAAUGGUCUUGCUGAGAGGAAACAUAGGCACAUCGUAGAGACUGCUAUCACACUUUUAACCGAGGCUGAAGUUCCAUUACAGUUCUGGAAUUAUGCUUGUACUCAUGCUGCAUUUCUGAUCAACAGAAUGCCGUGUAAGGUUUUGGGGAUGAAGUCUCCAUAUCAGCUCCUGUUUAAACAAGACCCUGUGUUGCAUACAUUGAAGAUAUUUGGAUCUGCAGUUUAUCCAUUCUUAAGGCCGUAUACUAAACAUAAAUUGCAACCUAGGUCGAAGCAAUGUGUUUUUCUUGGUUUUGUGGCUGGAUAUAAAGGUGUAGUCUGUUAUGAUUUGAGUAGUACUAAACUAGUAUUGUCAAGACAUGUGGUGCAUGAUGAGACUACAUUUCCAUUUAAAUCAAGACUGCAGUUGUCUUCUGGGAAGUUCAAUAAGGUCCAGAGUACAACAAUGUUUCCAAUCAUGGUUCAAAUGCCAUGUUUUGCUCCUGAUCCCAUAUCCUCCCCAACCCUUGCCAGGUCAUCUGCCAAUCCAGAUAUUAUGGAAGAUCAACCAAUGGAUAGCUUACAGGUUCCAAGCUCAUUAAGUCAAGUUUCUCAGGAUCUCAAUGCUCAUACUCAUAGCUCUCCUACUCUCUCAACAUCACCUCCAAGUACAAUAUCAUUGUUGCCUGUCCAUAGUCCUUCUCAGUUAGAGGUAAUCCUACCAAUCUCUUCUCCUGUGGUUGAAACUAAUGAAGAAUCAGCUCACGAUAUGGUCACCAGGUUGAAGUCAGGUGCCAUUUCCCGAAGAUCUUACACAGGUUAUAUUGGUUCAUUUCCAGAAUUACAAACUCUCCAGAUGGAUAAUGAGUGUGACUUUACUGGGGGGUUUUCAUUUAUUGCUGCAAUACAGGAUUUGGAGGAACCCUCAACAUUCCGAAAAGCUUCUACAUGUCCACAUUGGCAAAGUGCAAUGCAAGAAGAGUUUAAUGCACUCAAAGCUCAAGGAACUUGGCAAUUGGUUCCUUCUCCACCAAAUAGAACCAUUAUUGGCAGUAAGUGGGUAUAUAAGGUUAAGAAGAAUCCUGAUGGCAGUGUAUCGAGGUAUAAAGCCAGACUCGUGGCUCAAGGUUUUUCCCAAGAACCAGGCAUUGACUACUCAGAAACUUUUAGUCCCGUAGUCCGACACACUACUGUAAGACUCAUUUUGUCCUUAGCAGCUAUCAAUAAAUGGGAAUUGAGGCAGUUAGAUAUCAAAAAUGCAUUUCUGCAUGGUGACUUGCAAGAAGAGGUGUAUAUGAAACAGCCUCAAGGGUUUGUUGAUCAAACUAAACCCCAUUAUGUCUGUAAGUUGAUUAAAUCGUUGUAUGGGUUGAAGCAAGCCCCUCGGGCAUGGAAUUCAAAGUUCACGACCUAUUUACCAGCUUUGGGAUUUGUACCAUCUUCAUCGGAUACAAGUUUAUUUGUGAAGAAUGAUGACAAGGAUGUGGUGAUUCUUUUACUAUAUGUAGAUGACAUCAUUUUUGACAGGAUCCAAUCCUAGCAAAGUUCAGCAAGUUAUUGAUGAUUUGGCAGGUGUUUUUGACUUAAAGGAUAUGGGCAGACUUACUUACUUCCUGGGACUUCAGAUUCACUACAAGGAGAAUGGAGACAUAUUUGUCAAUCAAUCAAAGUAUGUUAAAGAUCUUAUUCAUAAAGCUGGAAUGGAAUCUUGUAAACCUGCCAAUACACCAUGCAAACCUCACAAUCAAAUGCUCUUGCAUGAGGGAAUACCAUUGCAGGACUCUACAUUGUACAGAAGUUUGGUUGGUUCCCUGCAAUAUCUCACAUUUACACGUCCUGAUAUAGCGUAUGCUGUGAAUUCAGUGUGUCAAUUUAUGACUGCUCCGACAGAUUUACAUAUCAUUUCUGUCAAACGAAUUCUUCGAUAUCUUCAAGGCACUGCAGAGUGUGGCAUUACAUAUGCAGCUGAUACUGACAUACAUUUGACAGCAUUCUCUGAUGCUGAUUGGGCUGCUGAUUUGAACACAAGACGAUCUGUGACUGGUUAUGUGGUUUACCUUGGUGGGAAUCCAAUCUCGUGGUAGUCAAAGAAGCAAUCAUCCGUCUCUCGAAGUUCUACCGAGGCGGAGUACAAGGCACUUGCUCAUACUGCAGCAGAUGUGGCUUGGAUUCGGCUCAUUUUGAAAGAUUUGGGCGUUGCAUUACCUUUUCAACCAACUAUAUUCUGUGAUAAUAAAUCUGCAAUAGCACUCAGUGCUAAUCCAGUGUAUCAUUCGAGAAUCAAACACCUUGAUACGGAUUAUCAUUUUGUCCGUGAAAGGGUGCAUCAUGGUGAUUUGUUGGUUGAAUAUCUACCCACUGAUGAACAGACCGCUGAUAUUCUUACUAAAGGAUUACAUAGUCCGCCGUUCACUCGUCAUUGUUUCAAUCUCAAACUUGGUUUCCCUAGUUGAGAUUGAGGGGGGAUGUUGACUGAUAUUGACUCAAGUGAAUGCCACAUAAUCUGCCAUGUCAUCAAUAUUUUUGUUAAAAGUUAGUUAGGAGGGUUAUGUGUAGCUUACACAGUAAGCAAGGUAGUUAGACUACUAGAGGGAUAUAAAAGGCCGAUUGCAGUCUAAUGUUUGUAAGAAAUAACCAUUCUAUCAAUACAAAACUUUUCAUAUUCUUUCUAGUUUUAUUUCCAGGUCUUCUUCUACAUUCUCUAUAUUCCUUCUUUCUUCUUUCUUCUGUGGUUCUGAUCUUCUUUGUUAAGAUAAAGGCGUGAAAUCAACUCUAAAAACUGAAGCAUUGCCCCAAACAACUUUAGAGAAAUGUUUUAGUUAAUCUUAAACUUUUAUUUAUGGUAUGAAACUAUUAUUGACACUUCUAACAUCUCAUUCUAUAUUCCUCAUAAGUGUAUUUUUUUUUCUUAAUUAUAGAAAGUUUGAAGUGUAAAAUGAAAGUUUUGGAGUGUCACAUUCCAGCCCGAGCCCCCACCACAUCCCAGGCUCAACUCCACCGUAGCACGAUAUUGUCUGCUUUGGGCCCCGAGCACGCCCUCACGGUUUUGUUUCUGGGAACUUACACAAGAACUUCCCAGUGGGUCAUCCAUCAUGGGAGUGCUCUUGUGCGCUACUUGCUUAACUUCGGAGUUCUAAUGGAACCCGAAACCAGUGAGCUCCCAAAAGGCCUCGUGCUAGGUAAGGGUGGGAAUAUACAUUUAAGGAUCACUCCCAUGGGCGAUAUGGGAUGUUACAAUCCACUCUUCUUAGGGGCCCGACAUCCUCGUCGGCACACUUUCGGCCAGGGAUUGGCUAUGAUACCAUUUGCCACAUCCCGGCUCGAGGCAGACCACUUCCCGGGCCCGUUCCACCACCGUAGCACGAUAUUGUCCGCUUUAGGCCUCGACUACGCCCUCACGGUUUUGUUUCUGGGAACUCACAUGAGAACUUCCCAGUGGGUCACCCAUCAUGGGAUUGCUCUCGCGUGCUAUUCGCUUAACUUCGAAGUUCCAAUGGAACUCGAAGCCAGUGAGUUCCCAAAAGACCUCGUGCUAGGUAGAGAUGGGAAUAUACAUAUAAGGCUUACAGGAUCCACUUAUUUGGGCAAUGUGGGAUAUGUUACAAUCCACCCCCCUUAGGGACCCAACGUCUUCGUCGGCACACUACCGGUCAGGGAUUGGCUCUAAUACCAAAUUGUCAUAUCCCAGCCUGGACCCCUACCACAUCUCGGGCUCAACUCUACCGUAGCACGAUAUUGUCUGCUUUGGGCCCCGAGCACGCCCUCACGGUUUUGUUUCUGAGAACUUACACGAGAACUUCCCAGUGGAUCACCCAUCAUGGGAGUGCUCUCAUGCGCUACUCGCUUAACUUCGAAGUUCCAAUAGAACCCGAAGCAAGUGAGCUCCCAAAAGGUCUCGUGCUAGGUAAGGAUGGGAAUAUACAUUUAAGGAUCACUCCCCUGGGCGAUAUGGGAUGUUACAUGGAGUGUCAAUAAUAAUUUCCUUUGUGGUAUUGCAUAUUUUGUCCUGAAACAACUUUAGAGAAAUAUUCAAGUUUUCUUAAGACAGGAAUAAGAAAAAAUUAUAACUUAUUACAAUGUGAAGUUCAUUCCUAUUAAUAAUUGGUCUUAAGUUAAGACCAUAUUUUUUUGUGACUUGAGAUUAUUUCUUUAUAAAGUAUUACUUUAGAAAUGUUUUACUGUAGUUUAAGCGGUUUUAUUAAAAACGCUUUUAUUAAAAGAAAAUCAAAGCUUUUAUUUACAAAACCCAAGUGCACUUUUAUAUUUUCGACCAAAACUUUAUGAUCAUAUCACUGACAAAUUUUCAUUCCCCCAAGAGUGUUAGAUUGUAAUUAUUUUAGGAGACAGAUUGUCUGCCCUUUUGUUUGGGUGCUCUCCCCAUCCUCUUUUAUUUGUGUUGUCACGGUUAAGCCACGUCAACAUUUUAUAUUCUUAUUGUUUUUUGUCUUAUUAUUUCUAUAAGAGAAUUAAUAUAAAAUGUUAACGUGGCUUAACCGUGAUCGCACAAAAUAGAAAGGGAUGAGAAGGGCACCCAAACAGGAGGACAUACAAUCUGUCUCCAUUAUUUUAAAUGCACUUUCUGUAAAACCAUUUUGUGAAUGACAAUGAAUUAUGCCGAGAAUAAUUGAGGGAAUAUUGACUUGGCAAUCAAGUUAAUAAAAUCUCUAGGACUCUCAGUGCCUUAAGGAAAUAAACAUAUUGGAGUCCUAAUUACAUGCAAUCAAUUAAGGGCCUUUAUUAAGUAAAUACAAGGAAUAAGAGUCAUGAUGGGACUAUAAUUGAUGAGAUAUGAUUUGGGUUGAUAUCCUUUCCGAUAAUAGGGAGGAAUUGAUUGAAACCCUAGCUAUAUAACCUAGGGGCCGUCCCUGCUUCCAUACCGAUAGAAACUCACGAAAACUAUAAGCCUAUUUCGAUAGUAGAGUUCAUUCAGAGGUACUGGAAGUAGAAGACUGCUUCUACUUUGUUCGCAAGGAUCAAUGGCUUCACCUUCAUAACCAUGUCUUCCGAAUUCUACAUAUAAGUUCAAUAUAAUUAGUUGAUCUCUAUUUCAUAUUGAUUUGAUUUAUUCGUGAUCCUAAUGUCUUGUUGUUAUGAUUUCAGAAUAUGUCUUACACUUUCAACUUUCAAAAAGGCUUUUACCUCAUGAGUUGUCAUCUCACCCGUAUUCAAGUUUAAGGAGCUGGCUCUCUAUUUAACUAUCCAGCCCAACCGUCCAAGUAUCCAAGUCAAGCUCACAUUAUGUUUCUCAUUCUCGUUACACGUAAUGCCCAUAGGUAUUGGAAAUGAAAUUUCGCCCAAUCAACAAAAAAAACCAAUUUUUAAAAUGGGUAGUAGCUCCACGCCAGUUGUUCGACCAUAAACAUUAAGGGGUAUCGAGCAUUUUAGUACACCAGGGCAAGACCCUAUGGAACUUGAAUGCAAGAAAUCCUCUUUAUGUAUGUGUUUUCAGUCGGACGGCUAACAUGGAAUGGAAGUUGAAGAAUCUCUCCUUGCCUAGGUAGAUGUAACAUUGAAAUAAUUUUGUGCCAAAACAUCAAUGAAUCAUGACGCUAAUGUAACACAAGCAUAACUUUCUCUACAUACUAAAGAUUAUAUUACUUUUUCACUGUCCAUCUAUAACUCAGUAAAUACUAAGUGUGAAGAAGAACUACAUGGAUUUCAGAGUACAAAGGGUGUAACCAGAGAUGAGGGAGCUGGAGGCAAGGGCAAUAAAGGCAAAGAAGGACAAUGUGACGGAUGCCCGAGCCAUGUCCGGGAGCUUGUCUUUGCCCCAAUUCGACUCCCAGUCGUCGACCCGAAUCGCAGCCGAUGAAGACGCCGACAUCAAAAGGUACGUCAAAAUCUGCAACGCCAACCAAAACCAUUCAACUUAAGAUUUAUAUUAGGGUUGUUUUAUUGGCACCCCCACAAUCUUAUAAAUACACCCCACACUUAAAAUUGUCCUUUUAAAUUCCAAUUUUAGUCCUACUUCUACUGAAACCACCCCACCUGUUCAAAACGACAAUAACGUUUCAUCUUUUAAAUUCCAAUUUUAUUGGCACCUCAUCUUCCCCACCCUCUUCCCUCCCUAUCGUUCUGCGAGGCCUUUGACAGUUUGUAGAAACUGCAAUUUCAGACUCCAUACUCAAGGAUGUCUACUUGAUGGCUAUGGGCACAAAAACAUAUGGAAAGUGCUUCUGUAAUAUAACGUCGCAUAUGUUUGGGUAAAUAAAGUUAUCAAGACCAUCUUCUUAUAACAAUUGAAUUAUUGAGAGCAAUGAAAUUUGUUAAUGGUGGUCCAUGUUGUUUGGCUGUCACUAAGGGAAUACCUGGUGCAUUUGUGGUGCUGGGUUUUUUUUUUUUUUGUUUCUUUUUCAUAUUUAAAUAAGGAUAAAAGAGGUAGUUCAACAAGAAUUCAAAAAAUGUAACACCCGCCCCCUAAUUAUAAAGAUAUAUGUUUGUAAUUAUCCCUAAAUGUUUUAAAUAUAUCAAUUUCAUCCUUUUUGUCUACCAAAUCAGGAUCCAAAGCAUUGGAUCCCUUUCUUUCUAAAUUUGCCACGUGGCAGCACCCCAAGCAAUUUCUCCUUCUUCUCUCUCUGUACCCCCGUGAACCGCCUUCCUUCUUCUUCUUCUUUUUUUUGUCUGUCCCGUCUCUUUCUCCCUCUUGGAAUCUCUCAUUUCUCUCGCUCUCUUUAGUUAAUCACACACACCCACACACUGAGGCGCACGCAUGCUCGGAUGAGCCAUUUCCAUCAUCAUCUUGUCCUGCUCUCUCUCUCUCUCUCCCUCUCGUUCCCGCGAUGCCAGAAAACCAGAAAAGAAGCUCCGACGAGAUUUUUCAAUCUCUAGUUAGGUAAGCCUCUAAUUCUCUCUUUUCGUCCUUGAUUCUUGCGAGAUUGAGGUUUAAUUGGAGUUAUUUUGUGAUUUUUGGAAGUUUUUAGGACGAAUCGAACCCGGGUGUAAACACCCCCAUUUUCGGCGAGCCGUGGGUGUCGAGGGACUCUCCAGCCAUCUCCAGCCGUUCCACGACGAAAGGAAGGUAUAGAAAUACUCCCCCCGUCUUGCUCUUCGUUUUGAUACCUAGAUCAGGGUCUAGGUUUGUGUGUGGUGGUCAGCCGGAGCUGUUGAAGCUUCGGUGGUUGUGCUCCGGCGAGACCAGGCCUUCCAGGCCGGUUCCAAUGUCAAGCGGACCUUAGGCCCGUGUGGGGAGUUAGCCCAAAUCCUAACCCAUUUCCUUUUAAUUGUUUUUAGUUUUUUUUUAUUAGUUGUUUAGGACCUUAAGGCUUUCGGGCCAUUAGGAUUAGGGCAUGUAGCCCUGUAGCCCAACCCAAAAACCUUUUUAAGGUUUUUAUUUAAUUUUAUUUUCUGUUUUAGGAAAUAAAGCCUUGGGCCAAUUAUAAAGUAGGCUUUCAGCCAUUUUCCCAAAUCCCUUGAGCUUUAGUUAAAACCCAAAACCCCUAAGGCCCUUUCAGCCCAACCCAAUCCAAGCCCAAUCUAACUUUGACCUUGACCAGUUGACACUGACUGUUGACUUGGUCAACGGUCAGAGUUGAAUUUGACUUUGACCAGUCAACGGUCAACGUUGACUUUUUGAGUUGACUUUUUUGGGUUUCGUCCAGGACCUCUCCUAGGCUAAUUUCAACGUUCUAAACCCGUUUUUUAAGUCCGUUUUCCCAAAUUCAAUCGUUUGAAUAGAGUUUGACUAAAGGUACUCCUUUAUGUGAAUAGGUGCAAUUAUUAGCGGUGAUUCCACUAUACCUUUUUGGUACAGCUUUGCACCAUCGGUGUACGGUGAGUGGACCCCUUCUAAAAUGCAUGUUUUGAUAGUAGAAAUGCAUACAUGAAAGCAUGAUUUAACAAUUAUGUUUUAUGAGACGCUUUGAGAUAACAUGCUUACUAAGGCUAGUUUGAAUUAUUACUAUUUUUCCUAUAACCCAUGUUCUUAUAGAAUAUCCGAUGGAUGACGAUAUGAUAUUUAGAACAUGUUUCGAACACCUCUUUAUAGUAUAGAUGAUGGAUGACUUUAUACUAUGAAAUUGCUUUUCAAUAUAUAUAUAUGUUCAGUGGUUUUGUACUUACCUAGUCGUCAUUUCUGCUACGGGACGUAGGGAUAGAUUCUAGUCCAUCCCGGGCGACGGUUUGGUGUUGGCAUAGGGCCUGGAGUGUGUUUCCUCUGGCUAUUUAGCACAGGGACAGGGAGCCGACAUGGGGCCUGAAGUGUAUUUUCCUCUGACUGUCUGCUUAGAGACGGGGAGCCGGCAUGGGGCCUGGGGGUUAUCAGACAAUUCACUAGUGAUUAUUAUAUUUACAAGUUAUGAUUUGAGACAUUGCACAACAUUCUAGGUUUCGGAAAACCUAUGUUUAUCAUUAUAUAUGUGUUUUCAUAAAACCUGGGGGUUAGUAUGUUGAUAACUGUUUUAUUAUAUCUAUAUCAAAUUGGUCCACUCAUGUUUGUUUUGCGCCCCCUUCAGGACUUAGAAUCGAGGCGUACAAUCCCGGCAUCCAGGCAUUUCCGCAUCAGUAUCUUCGAGUCCUCUUGGUGUGGGACCCAUUCUUUUAUUCAUUAAAUUUUAUAUUAUUUCUUUUAGUAUUCUAGUUCGUCGUAUGCUCUGAACAUGUUCCUUAAAUGCAUAUUCUUUAUUCUUUUAUAUUUAUAAACCUUAUUUAUUCCUUAUUCUCAGCAUUUGCAUUCAAUUAAUGGCUUUCGUCACCCUUGGGUGUCGGCCAACACGUGCUUAUCUUGGUAUUCGAGGAAUAUCGGGAUCGAGGCGUGUCAAAAAAAAUGGGGUGUAUUCAUAAGAUUGUGGGGAUGUGAAUAAAAAAACCCGUUAAAUUACACGACAUAACAGAGGAUAGAGCAAGUAAACAGAAUGCAGAAUUCCAAUAUGCAUGCUUUAAGAUAUUCUAAACAGAGAAUCCUUUAACAAGAGGGAUCCCCAUUUUUCUAAAAAAAUGGGAACAUCCUCAUGACCGUUGGAUAUGACUUUAAUGAAAUUGUGUGGUUGAGAUUGUGUGGCCUGUGAUUUAAUCUCAACCACACAAUUUCAUUAAAGUCAAUCUAAAGGUCAGGAAGGUGUUCCCAUUUUUUUAGAAAAAUGGGGAUCCCUCUUGUUAAAGGGCAUGUUCUAAACAGUAUUUAACACAAAUGGAAAAGUAGAAGGGUGGUGAUAUCCACGUACUCUUUUUUAUCUUUCACACACACUCUCAAUUUUGAGUCGUUUGAUUGAAUGAAUUGAAGAGCAUUAAAGAACAAAAAUUAAUUGAGGAUGUGUGGGACGUAAAAAAAAAUGUGAAUAACACCGCCCAAGUAGAAUCAUUAAUGGAAAAAAAGGCUAGUUAAAAAGUAUCAAAAAGGUGGAAUAAAUAAAAAGGUCAAGAACCAAUUGAAGCAAAAGUAUCUACUGAUGCAUAACCAUAUAAACAAAAGGAAAACUAAUGAAAAUAAUUUGAAAAUUUUGAGUUUUAACGAUAAGGAAUAGUGAAGUGAAUAGUAUCAUAAUUGACUUUUUAGUGUAAAAAUAUUGUUUUUUGUAAGUAUCCUUAGAAGUAACUUUGUAAGUAUCUUAUCGUUUAUUAAAAAAUAACACAUAAAUAUAAAGAUCCGCAAUAUAUCAUAGGAUUUUGAAGAACUGUAAGUGGGAGUACAUCCGCUUUAACCAAUGCCGGUGUUAAAGCUAAAAAACACAGCAAUGAGCAAGGAGGGAGAAAACACACUGCAAACUAGCCAAACUAGAAGCACUAUAUAAAUACACAUAACAUUGCGCCCUUAUUACAAGACUUUCAAACAAGCGGGCAGCAGGAUACAAGAAUAUCACACACGAACAUUUUGCAAGCCUGAACUAGUACUCUCUAUUAUCUCAUGGGAUGGGAUACACAACCACCUUUCCAGGAGCUCUGGAGGUUUCAAGAUAGGCAAAUGCUUCAACAGUCUUCGAAAAUGGAUAUGGGCCGCUGGGAUCAAGCACCGGGUUCACCUUCCCACUCUCCAAGUAAGGCUUCAGUUUCUCUAAUACAGUUCCGGUUGAGGUCAGCAAAAAUAGGAAUGCCGGUGGCGCUACUGGACGUACAAUUGUCAAUACCUUCCCGCCUUCCUUCACCGCCUUCACUGCCCUGUCAGUCUCCCCUAUUUUUGUUAAUUUCAGAAACACAAAACAACAUCAGUCCUUGUGUUUGAUUUGUAUAAAAAAAAACAACGAUGAAGAUUCAAGAAUUAUACCAACUGCAUUAUAAACCACAUCAAAUUUCUCGGUCAG